rnacentral:rRNA from 1 species
UACAGAGGGUGCAAGCGUUAAUCGGAAUUACUGGGCGUAAAGCGUGCGCAGGCGGUUUUGUAAGCCAGGUGUGAAAUCCCCGGGCUCAACCUGGGAAUGGCAUUUGGGACUGCAAGGCUGGAGUGCGGCAGAGGAGACUGGAAUUCCUGGUGUAGCAGUGAAAUGCGUAGAUAUCAGGGGGAACACCGAUGGCGAAGGCAGGUCUCUGGGCUGACACUGACGCUCAUGCACGAAAGCGUGGGGAGCAAACAGG